rnacentral:lncRNA from 1 species
UGUAAUAAAUAAUUUUCAGCUGCUACUAAGUUCCAGCUAUCGCUGACACCGCCCGACUUUGCUCAAUUCAGGGUGAAUGAUCUGUUCAGAGGCCUGGGGCCCAUAGCGAUAUUUUCAGCGAAACGCCACUGGUCGGCCCCCCGAUUGGUGCAACUGCACAGAGGACGCACCAAUGAAGGGUUCGGAUUUUCGGUUCGAGGAGACGCCCCUGUUAUCAUUGCCAUAGUUGAGCCUGGAUCAUUAGCGGAGUUUGGAGGCGUGAAAGAGGGCGACUUUAUUGUGAGCAUUGGGGAUAAAGAUGUCAAGUGGGCCUCCCAUGAGGAACUGGUCGCGCUCAUUAAAACAGCUGGGGAUUCUUUGAGCUUGAAACUCGUUACUCCCAUGGAUCGCACGUACUUGAAGUCGCUGAAGUCAAACCAGUCAAAGGGCUCGGUUUCCACACAUAGCAGUUCCAGUGGCGUAUCGAGUGGGAUGUCGAGCCCCUCCGGAUCCAUGGCUCAACACAAUCACAACAACAGCAAAAGACUAAUCCACUGGAAUCCGUUCAAGAGGAACCAUUCUACCAGUAGGGAGGGAAAGGAUUUCUUCGAGAACGUUAUUCUGCGAUAAUCCAGGCGGUUAUUAGCGCAACGAUCAGGCUGAACAUACAAGUUUUUUAUAUAAACAGUACCUUUCUAAUAGCUGAAAAGUGACUGAGACUUAAAAGUACAGUACAAAUUGACUUUUGACUGGCAAAUCCUGCGGAAUUCAGUUCGAAGCCUAACAUUCUGUAUAUAAAGUUAUUUAUUUUUAAUCGCCGUGUUAGGAAAUAGGACCUUAAAAUUAUAAUUUAUUUCCCUAGAGCGAUAGCAUUAUGCAGCGGAAUUAUAAGUUCUGGUAUUUAUAAACUGUUAAAUAAUUGAAAGUAUUGUUGUGUACAGUUGAAGCAAUAAAAUUUAU